UUCUUCCAAAGCCAGCCAUAGGAAAUAACAUCAUUCUUUGUUCCUGGUUUGGAGGAAAACCUUGCAUUGUGUUUGCCUGUUCCUGGGGAAGAGGGUCCAACUGGCUGCAUAUUCUCACUGGAAGUUCCCAGGAAAAAAGAUCUGAUAAGGGGAGUACUUUCUUGUUUCAUAAUCCUUCAGAUGACUUAUUGCCUGGUGGUCAUCUUGUACACAGGAGGAGGAUUUCACUUCAUUGUUGGCACAGAAACUGGACUUCCACAGUAUGAUUUUCUCUUUUUUUAACAUGAAAAGAUGAAAUAAUUUUAAAGAUGAAAUUGUCUCUUCAAUGAAGUUGCCAGAGAUGAGUGUAAUUGUAAGGAGUCGAAAGGGAAAACGGUCUCAAAUGUUUUGAAUUACCUAGAUGCAAGAAAACAAGGCAAAAUGUAUUACAAAGGCACAGAUGUAUUUCCUGGCUUUGGGAUGAUUUUGCCCUUACAGAGAGGAGCAGGACCAGCCACUUGCUGUCUCCCACAGCUUCGGUCAUGCAGGAGCGAAGGAAGGGUCAGUGCUUGGCUGGGCUUUGGGUGUGGCUGCCCCUUGGAUUCGGAAUGGCUAUUCUUAGCCCGCGGAAGGAAGCACGACGAAGGGCAGAAAUACAUUCCGCAUUGUUCCUGCCGUCUGCACAGGAACCUGCCGAGAAGCUGCAGGAGGGAAGGUUGUCCACAAGAGGGCAAAGAUGAGCCUGGGAUUGAAGUUAUUUGGUCUGAAGGACUCCGUCCUCUUCCCACCUGUAUUUCCAGCGGGAUUGAAGCCCCCAUGUCCCUCUGUUGUCAGUAUGGCUAUAAAUUGAACUGUGCGUUUUAGGGAUACUCUUUCCAUUAAUUUUUUUAUUUCUCAAUAUAUAGCUUGAAGGAUUUUUGGCAAUAUAAUCUUACCAGUAUUGUGUCGAGGAGAUACUUUGCCUGAGCAGUUUGAAAGGGUUUUACUUGCAUUACUUGUGUUUUGUAGCCUGCCAAUGAAUGUUUUUAAAAAUUCAAGUAGAGCUUCAGCUGCCUUAAAACACUGCACUUAAAACACUGCACUGCAGUUUUGGAGAACUUUGUGGUCUGUACUAUGCUGUGGUUUUCAAUAAAAGGUCUGUGGAUUACA
rnacentral:lncRNA from 1 species